CGCGCGCGUGCUCCCGCUGCCGACAAACAGGCAGAGUCGGCUGCACCUGCCCCCAGUUUCGCUAGAGCUUCUCUCCAGAGCCGCAGCGCGGCGCUGUUGUCGCGCCGUAAACUUGAGCUCGGGUUCUCUAUAGCAGAGUUUGUUUAUGAAA
rnacentral:lncRNA from 1 species